rnacentral:rRNA from 1 species
UACGUAGGUGGCAAGCGUUACUCGGAAUCACUAGGCGUAAAGCGCAUGUAGGCGGUUCGGUAAGUCUCUUGAGAAAGCUCCCGGCUCAACUGGGAGAGGUCAAGGGAAACUACCGGGCUAGAGUGUGGCAGAGGAAGCUGGAAUUCCCGGUGUAGCGGUGAAAUGCGUAGAGAUCGGGAGGAAUACCUAUGGCGAAAGCAGGCUUCUGGGCCGUCACUGACGCUGAGCUGCGAAAGCUAGGGGAGCAAACAGG